CAACUCCUCUAUUGCAGCUUAUGGACCAGCAGGUUAUACCUGACUUUAUGAAGCAGUACACCAAAGAUGUGAUUCCAGAUGGUCUCAAAUACAGAUUUAACCCUUAAAGAGUUCUGGAAGAAAUGUUACAACAUCCUUUCCUAUGUGGGGUAAAUUGAAAAAUCCUGAGCCAAUUUCUAAGGACACAGAUCUGCCUGGAAGAAAGCAAGGCCUAAAAUGAUAGAGGAGUCAGACUUUGAAGGCUGUGUAGAGAACCCUGAGCCUUCAGUUGAUCCUGUGGUCAAUGACAUUGUCACCAUAGCUGAGCCCAUAGGCUCGCAGGCAGACAGACAGUGGUGACUUGAGGAAGUGGUGGAGGAACAGUCAGGGAACUGUCUACAGAGGGACUUCAGCAACUUCUGGCUGAGCAACAGAGAACGGCAGCAGAGGAGCUUUCUGAAGAGGAGGGGGAGUAUCAACAAUCAGUACAGCAAUGUUCUUCUUCUGAAAUGAAGGAAAUCCUGAAAAAUGGACAAAGCUACAAACAUUUGUAGAGAAGACCCACCCAGGCAGAGAAAAAGCCAAUCGCUGCAUUCACUUGCUUAAUGACAAUGUCAUGCCAUACUACAGAGUGGUGUUAAAGACAGAAACAGACAUCCUUAAACCAAUAUUUAGUUCUGAAAAGGUUGAGGCCAAGUGAGCUAGAAGAAGGCCCUAGUGGGUUACAGACUCUCCCACGAAGAGAAAGGACACCAGAGAGCCAGCUUCCUGAUGUUCUUAUGGGAGGGAACUCUCCUUCCAAAUAGAAACCACCUUUCAUUUCAUCCUCCCUGCCUGCAAGCCAAAGAUGUCAACUUGAAUGCUACUCCUGCUCUUCGAAGAAUUGCCAGCCAGAACUCAUCCGUGCCUGGCAGUGGCCGGAUCACACUGCACACCAUCUCCCUGUACCUGGCGUAGCUUGCUGAGGUCACCAGGUGGGGUACAGGAUGGUGCCAUCAGCUCUGAAUCAGCCCUUCCGCUCUGGGCUCUGUGAUGCCAGGGCUCCUGGCCUUGCUCGUG
rnacentral:lncRNA from 1 species